UACAGGGGGGCGAGCGUUGUUCGGAAUUAUUGGGCGUAAAGGGCGCGUAGGCGGUGCGGUAAGUCACCUGUGAAACCUUUGGGCUUAACCCAGAGCCUGCAGGCGAAACUGCCGUGCUAGAGUGUGGGAGAGGUGCGUGGAAUUCCUGGUGUAGCGGUGAAAUGCGUAGAUAUCAGGAGGAACACCGGUGGUGUAGACGGCUUACUGGACCAUAACUGACGCUGAGACACGAAAGCGUGGGUAGCAAACAGG
rnacentral:rRNA from 1 species